rnacentral:rRNA from 1 species
AGUGAACGCUGGCGGUAGGCCUAACACAUGCAAGUCGAACGGCAGCACAGUAAGAGCUUGCUCUUACGGGUGGCGAGUGGCGGACGGGUGAGGAAUACAUCGGAAUCUACUUUUUCGUGGGGGAUAACGUAGGGAAACUUACGCUAAUACCGCAUACGACCUACGGGUGAAAGCAGGGGAUCUUCGGACCUUGCGCGAUUGAAUGAGCCGAUGUCGGAUUAGCUAGUUGGCGGGGCAAAGGCCCACCAAGGCGACGAUCCGUAGCUGGUCUGAGAGGGUGAUCAGCCACACUGGAACUGAGACACGGUCCAGACUCCUACGGGAGGCAGCAGUGGGGAAUAUUGGACAAUGGGCGCAAGCCUGAUCCAGCCAUACCGCGUGGGUGAAGAAGGCCUUCGGGUUGUAAAGCCCUUUUGUUGGGAAAGAAGAGCAGCAGGUUAAUACCCCGCUGUUCUGACGGUACCCAAAGAAUAAGCACCGGCUAACUUCGUG